rnacentral:rRNA from 1 species
GACGAACGCUGGCGGCGUGCCUAAUACAUGCAAGUCGAACGGAAAGGCGCUGCUUUUGUUGGUUGCUCGAUUGGCGAACGGGGGAGUAACACGUGUGUAACCUGCCCUUGACUUUGUGAUAACUUCAGGAAACUGGGGCUAAUACCGCGUAGAAGCUCUUGCUGCAUGGUGGGGGUUGGUAAGUUCCGGCUGUGGGGGAUAGACUCGCGGGUUAUCAGCUGGUUUGUGUGGUAGGGGCUUCCGAAGGCUUUGACGGGUAGCCCGCAUGAGAGGGUGACCGGCCACAUGAGUCCUACGAGAGGCAGCAGAAGCCUAUGGGACGCAAAAGGGGGGAAUCUUACAGAAUGGCGGCAAGCGUGAUACAGCAACGCCGCGAGCGGGAUGCCGGCUUUCGGGUUAUGAACAGAUUUCGAAUGUGACGAAGCGUGCGUGACGGUACUGGGUAAAGAAGCACCGGCUAACUACGUG